ACUCCUACGGGAGGCAGCAGUGGGAAGUAUUGCACAAUGGCGCAAGCCUGAUGCAGCCAUGCCGCGUGUGUGAAGAAGGCCUUCGGGUUGUAAAGCACUUUCAGUCGUGAGGAAGGUAGUGUAGUUAAUAGCUGCAUUAUUUGACGUUACCUACAGAAGAAGCACCGGCUAACUCCGUGCCAGCAGCCGCGGUAAUACGGAGGGUGCGAGCGUUAAUCGGAAUUACUGGGCGUAAAGCGCAUGCAGGCGGCCUGUUAAGUCAGAUGUGAAAGCCCGGGGCUUAACCUCGGAAUUGCAUUUGAAACUGGCAGGCUAGAGUCUUGUAGAGGGGGGUAGAAUUUCAGGUGUAGCGGUGAAAUGCGUAGAGAUCUAGAAGGAAUACCAGUGGCGAAGGCGGCCCCCUGGACAAAGA
rnacentral:rRNA from 1 species